rnacentral:misc_RNA from 1 species
UACGUAGGUGGCAAGCGUUGUUCGGAAUUACUGGGCGUAAAGCGCGCGUAGGCGGAUCUGCAAGUCAGCGGUGAAAGCCCGAGGCUCAACCUCGGAACUGCCUUGGAUACUGCGGAUCUCGAGUGCGAGAGAGGUGAGUGGAAUUCCUAGUGUAGAGGUGAAAUUCGUAGAUAUUAGGGAGAACACCAGUGGCGAAGGCGGCUCACUGGCUCGGUACUGACGCUGAGGCGCGAAAGCGUGGGGAGCAAACAGG